UACGGGGGGGGGCAAGCGUUGUUCGGAAUUACUGGGCGUAAAGGGCGCGUAGGCGGUUCGCUAAGUUGAAUGUGAAAACUCUGGGCUUAACCCAGAGCCUGCAUUCAAUACUGGCGGGCUAGAGUUCUGGAGGGGAUAGCGGAAUUCCCGGUGUAGCGGUGAAAUGCGUAGAUAUCAGGAGGAACACCGAUAGCGAAGGCAGCUCGCUGGGACGGUACUGACGCUGAGGUGCGAAAGCGUGGGGAGCGAACAGG
rnacentral:rRNA from 1 species